AUUGAACGCUGGCGGCAUGCCUAACACAUGCAAGUCGAGCGGCCGAUCGGACCUUGCUCGUGUUGCUAGCGGCGGACGGGUGAGUAAUCCCUGGGAAUCUGCCUCGUAGUCGGGAAUACCACCGCGACAACCGGCCUACUACCGCAUACGACCUGACUGCGAAAGGGGGGGGUCUUCGGACCUCGCGCCUUCCGAGGAGCCGUAGGCUGUUUCGCUAGUUGGUGUGUUAAACGCCUACCAAGGCGACGAUCCGUAACUGGUCUGAGAGGACGACCCGGCACACUGGAACUGGGCCACGGCCCAGACUCCUGCGGGAGGCAGCAGUGGGGAACUGUGGACAAUGGGCGAAAGCCUGCUCCAGCCCUGCGGCGUGUGUGAGGAAGGGGUUCGGCUUGUAAAGCACUUUUAGCCGGGACGAAGCGGACUGUGCUAAUACCUCGCUAUGCUGACGGUACCCGCAGAAUAAGCACCGGCUAACCUCGUG
rnacentral:rRNA from 1 species